GGAAACGACUGCUAAGCCCCGUAUGUACCGAAAGGGAAAAUAUUUAUAGCCUGAAGAUGAGCUCGCGUCCGAUUAGCUAUUUGGCGGAGUAAAAGCCCAUCAAGGCGACGAUCGGUAGCUGGUCUGAGAGGACGAUCAGCCACACUGGGACUGAAACACGGCCCACACUCCUACGGGAGGCAACAGGGGGGAAUUUUCCGCAAUGGGCGAAAGCCUGACGGAUCAAGACCGCGUGGGGGAAGAAGGCUCUUGGGUUGUAAACCUCUUUUCUCUGGGAAGAAAGUUGUGAAACCAACCUGACGGUACCAGAGGAAUCAGCCUCGGCUAACUCCGUGCCAGCACCCGCGGUAAGACGGACGAUGCCAGCCUUAUCCCGAAUGAUUGGGCGUCAAGCGUCCGCAUGUGGCAGUUCAAGUCUGCUGUCAAAUACCGGGCCUUAACUUCGGAAAGGCAGUGGAAACUGACCCUCUAAACUAUGGUAGGGGCACAGGGAAUUCCUGGUGUACCGUGAAAUGCGUAUAGAUCACGAAGAACAUCUCUUGGCGAAUGUGCUUCUGCUGGCCCAUAACUUGAUCUCAGGGACGAAAGCU
rnacentral:rRNA from 1 species